AGUGAACGCUGGCGGUAGGCCUAACACAUGCAAGUCGAACGGCAGCACAGUAAGAGCUUGCUCUUACGGGUGGCGAGUGGCGGACGGGGGAGGAAUACAUCGGAAUCUACUUUUUCGUGGGGGAUAACGUAGGGAAACUUACGCUAAUACCUCAUACGACCUACGGGUGAAAGCAGGGGAUCUUCGGACCUUGCGCGAUUGAAUGAGCCGAUGUCGGAUUAGCUAGUUGGCGGGGUAAAGGCCCACCAAGGCGACGAUCCGUAGCCGGUCUGAGAGGAUGAGCAGCCACACUGGAACUGAGACACGGUCCAGACUCCUACGGGAGGCAGCAGUGGGGAAUAUUGGACAAUGGGCGCAAGCCUGAUCCAGCCAUACCGCGUGGGUGAAGAAGGCCUUCGGGUUGGAAAGCCCUUUUGUUGGGAAAGAAAAGCAGCAGGUUAAUACCCCGCUGUUCUGACGGUACCCAAAGAAUAAGCACCGGCUAACUUCGUG
rnacentral:rRNA from 1 species